rnacentral:snRNA from 1 species
GUGCUUGCUUUAGCAGCACAUAUAUUAGAAAAGAUUAGGAUGCUCCCUGUGCAAGGAUGACAUGCAGAUUUGUGAAGAGUUCCAUAUUUUA